rnacentral:rRNA from 1 species
UACGGGGGGAGCAAGCGUUGUUCGGAUUUACUGGGCGUAAAGGGCGCGUAGGCGGUCAGCACAAGUCAGUUGUGAAAUCUCCGGGCUUAACUCGGAAACUGCCGUUGAUACUAUUUAUCUUGAAUAUCAUGGAGGUAAGCGGAAUAUGUCAUGUAGCGGUGAAAUGCUUAGAUAUGACAUAGAACACCGAUAGCGAAGGCAGCUUACUACAUGUUAAUUGACGCUGAGGCACGAAAGCGUGGGGAGCAAACAGG